rnacentral:lncRNA from 1 species
UAUGAACAAUAAAAGAGGAUCCUUGGGCUGCUGAGAUGAUUCAGUGGAUACAGCUGCUUUCUGCCAAGUGGGAUGACCUGAAUAUGAUCCCUGGAACCCACAUGGUGGAAGGAAGAGAACCAACUUCCACAAAGCUGUCCUCUGACUCCACACGUAUUCUGUGACACGCAGACGUGCACCCGCGCACAUGCAUGCAUGCAUGCAGAAGCAAUAAAGGUAAAAUAAAUCAAAAGAUCUUGUUUAAGGUAAACCAGAAGGACCAGCACCUGAGAUGUCCUCUGCCCUUCACACAUGCACCGUCACACACACACCAUGGCACACACGUGCUGUGUCACACAUGCUAACACUCACACAUACACAGGCGUACAUCAUGCACACAUAAAAUUUUGGAAAAAAAAACCCUUGCAACUGCAUUGAAUACGUGCACAUAUCUUUUAUUCUUGUUAUCCUCUAAACAAAACAAUGUAGUAUCUCUCUAGCACUUACAUUGCAUCAGUCACUAUAAGCAAUACAGGGAUAAUUUAUAAUGCAUGGGAGGGUGCUUGCAGAUUAUAUGCAAAUUAGAUGCCAGUAAAUAUGGAGGAGUAACUACAAGCUAGUACACACACACACACACACACACACUCCAUUUCCUUGUGAGUAAAAAAGUGCUUAAUUAGGAUAUGUGAUGUAGACACACUUGGUUUAUAGAUAGAAGAUUCCAGAAGACAUAUUUUAAUAAGGCACCAUGUGUAUGAACUGAAAUAGCAGAUGAAUUCAACUGUGUCCCCUCACUCAUUUGUGUUUUCAAAAUUUGUUUCCAGUGAGAGCCCCUUCUAUAACUAAGAGAAUGCUAUUUUUACAAUGAAUGUUUCACUGCUGUUUGAACGCUGUACUGUAGAAGGCACAGACUGAGAUGCUGGAUCAACUGCGCAUGCCUGUCUUUGUGACCGGCUGCUAUCGAUCCUUCCGAGCCCGUGUGCCACGCUGGAAAGCUGCAUCUAAGAGUUAAGAUUAUUGUGAGAAUUCAAUGUGAACAUCUUUGAAAUGCAGUUUCAAAUCUCCCACACGCUGACAAGAGCCACGUGAACCAUUGUGCAGCACUGCACCCAUUUGACAGAUGAGAGCAUGGAUACCUAACCGGAGCCUGGCAGGUCUUGGACAGCAGAGGCCACCCUGCAUCUGACACCAUCUCUUGUAAUCCAUGACUUCUCUUCCUGCCUCCAUGAAUCUCCAGAUAACAGAUUCCUGCCCUCCUAAAAGAUGGGUAUGUUUACACACUUCUAUUGAAAGUUGAUGCUCACAUAGAAUCAUAGUCAGGCAUUGUAGUGGGCCCAGAAAGGCAGGCAAGGCACAUGCAGGUUUCUCUAGGUUGGUAGCCAUGACGCUUGGGCUUUUCCGGUGUCCUUGACUAGAUCAUUUCCCUCACACCCCAAAAUAAUUUGAGCAGAUGUUUCAUCUCUAUGCAACUAGUCUUAGUGCUACCAUCACCAGCUUUCUUCUGUGGUUUCUCUUGGUCUUUCCUUCUUAACUCUACAAGACCACACCACAUAUUCCUUUCUCCUCACCAGGACAUGGCAGAGUGUCUGUAGUGUUUGGAGGAUUAUGAAAUACAAGGCUUCACAGAAACCCAAGGCCCACAGAUCCUCCAAGCUGUAGCUGAUUGCGCUGGUGCUUUCGUCCAUUUCCGUCCUUUUAUCCUCAUUCACUGAGAGGGAACUGCGGGGGUGGAGGGUGGGGGGAGUGGGGAGGGGGUGUAAGGCUUUGCCUUAGCAGCGUUUGACCACGUGACUUGCUUAGGCCAAUGGACAGAGAGUGGAUCUGGCAGACGCCAUGUCUGGGCACUUCUCGGCGUAGUUACAUGGGUGUUUUCUACUUGAACUGACAUCCUAGCAGGCUCCUGGGCGAUGCAGAUGCUGGCAUUCUGGGCACUGCCCUUUGGAAAGCUAUGAUGACCACUGAAGCAGAACAGACCAAAGCAAAGAGGUGGGAAAGUCGCGAGAAGAUACAGGACUGGCUGGGAUACAUCAGGAAGAGGAGCUGCGAUGGAUGGGACUUCAAAUGGAAGUUGGUGAUUAUAUCCGUCCCAGCACCUCCCGCCUUGCAAGAGAGGCCUUAUAAAUCCUGGUCACAAGGAAGGGAAACAGAAGCUCAAGGAAGAGAGAGCCAUGGCUUCCUAGGUGUCAGUGAAGACCCAGACGCUGAAACUAUAACCGCCUAGUUCAGAAACCUAUACUUUGCUUGACCACAAUCCAAGCAGGGGGUGGGGAUGGGAUGUUUUUCUGCAGGGCUGGACAUAGAGUCAGUGUUCAGAGCACAUUGUUGGAGAGAGGAAGGAUGGGUGAGUGAAUAAGUGAAGAAAUGAAUGAGAGAACAGAACCACUUUGAG